rnacentral:rRNA from 1 species
CCUACGGGCGGCAGCAGUGGGGAAUAUUGCACAAUGGGGGAAACCCUGAUGCAGCGACGCCGCGUGAGUGAAGAAGUAUCUCGGUACGUAAAGCUCUAUCAGCAGGGAAGAAAAUGACGGUACCUGACUAAGAAUCCCCGGCUAACUACGUGCCAGCAGCCGCGGUAAUACGUAGGGGGCAAGCGUUAUCCGGAUUUACUGGGGGUAAAGGGGGCGUAGACGGUGCAGCAAGUCUGAUGUGAAAGGUCGGGGCCCAACCCCGGGACUGCAUUGGAAACUGUUGAACUGGAGUACAGGAGAGGCAAGCGGAAUUCCUAGUGUAGCGGUGAAAUGCGUAGAUAUUAGGAGGAACACCAGUGGCGAAGGCGGUCUACUGGACUGUAACUGACGCUGAGGCGCGAAAGCGUGGGGAGCAAACAGGAUUAGAUACCCCUGUAGUC